UCAUGAACACAGGUGAAAGACGCAGAAAUCCCCGUGUGGCCCCUGUGAGCAUGCCUACAUCAGCACAAUGAACACCAUUUUGUUUAGUUUAGAGGCAUGACCUGACAUCUUUUUGAACUGCAAGCAAACAUUUCAGCAACCAAAUUGUUUCCUCUGUAACAAACUAUUUGCUCCUGUUGGGGCAGUGCAUUAUGCACACUGACUACAGUGUCAUCUCAGUAUUUUGUCUAAGAGAAAAUCUUGAAUCAGACACCGGGGUAAUACCUCAGCCUACAGUCAAGCCUCACACCAGACUUGGCCAUUCCCUAAUGAGUUUUCAGUUUAAGCAAACAAGACAGGUACACAAAAUGAUUGCAGAAAUCAGAGACAGAAGAAGAUGAAAACAGUUCCAGUCUGUAAGGCUGUGGAUUCUGGGCUCUGCCGUGGUGUCCUUUGAGAAAUUCUAUUUCAUGCGGGAACGAUAUGGGCUCACCAUGCUUGCUGCACCUCAGCAUGACUCCAUUAAAACUGAUCAGCCUUGGAGUUUUCUAAAUCAUCUGUCACUGUAAUAUCCUGCUGACAACUCUAUGCUCCUCUGAGCUUGCUGAAAAACCUCAAGAAUGUCCUGGAAGAAGGUCUCAGUGUUACUGGGGAAACCACAGCCUAGAAACAGAGAGUGCAGCAGCAGAGGUCUUAGCAGAGGCGCUGCAAGAUAUGAACACUGGUGCACCAUGUGCAGAAAGCUGCUGUUACCAGCCCAGUAUCCACCCGGCUGGAGUCAGCAGGAAGGAGCAUGAGCUCAGUUUUUUCUUCACACUGAAGAAUCAGGAUCUGAACUCAUUUCUGUCAUGGUUUAACAUCCUCAGCAUGUCUGAACAUCUUUCUGCACCAUUUUUAGGAUGCUGUAACCCAGCUCUCCUCGCUGCCUGGUGGUCAGAGAUUAGAGGACUAGGAUGUUUCACUGGCAGACGGCAGGGUCUUGCUUCAACAUCAAAAGCUAACUACCAUAGAUUGAUCAAGAAAUUACAGAGUGGAAGACAAAUUUUCAAUGCAUAUAUGUAAUGCCAGGAGAAUUUUCUUCAGAUUCAGCACCACAAUUUAGUACAACAGCAAAGUUCAGGGAGAAAAAAAGAUUUGCUGACAGAAAAGCCUGAACUUCUCAGCAGCAGCCCAGCUAACAUUUCCUGAAAUGGCAAUUGCACUAUAAACAGACUCACUCUGUUGGCUGUAGGGCACUGUCUCAUCUGGAAACACCCAUUUCGCAGUGGCUGCACAAUUAACAGAUAUUUCCCUAAUAAUUCACUGUCUGGAAUAUUUUGCUUUUUUUUUCAAUAAAAUUUCCUUGCCACUAAAAAGUGUACA
rnacentral:lncRNA from 1 species